ensembl:misc_RNA 7SK 7SK RNA
GGACGUGAUGGUGAUCUGGCUGUGACAUCUGUCACCCCAUUGAUCACCAGGGUUGAUUGGGCUUAUCUGGCUGGGUAGGCGGGUGUCCCCUUCUUCCCUCGCUGCUGCAUGUGCAUCCCUCCUGAAGCUGUGCACUCCGUAGAAGAGGACGACCUUCCCCAAUACAGGAGGAUCAUUCUUCGGUCAAGGGUAUACGAGUAGUUGCGCUCCCCUGCUAGAACCUCCAAACAAGCUCUAGAGGUCCAUUUUAUUAGACUGUCACCCUCAGGAUGUUGCCCCUUGUCCUUGUAGUAAAAAAUGACUAACCACAAGUUCCAACCAAAUCAAAUGGGAAAAAAGAGAAGCUGUGCUCUUUUCCUUGCU